rnacentral:lncRNA from 1 species
UUAUUUGUUUUUAUUAACAUUUUUUUUAUUUUGUCAAUUUAAAUUCAAUUUGAUCAAGGACAUUUUGAGUUUAAUUAAAAUCAAAACCAUAAGAACCUAGUAUAUAAAGAUAACUUAUUGGCCAAUUGAUAAGGAGGCAGGCGACCCAUAUCCUCGUCCAUCUCGAAUCCAAAAAUGAAAAGAAAAAAAAAUAGAAAAACUUGAAUAAAGAAAAAAAAAGAUGAAGAGGUUUUAUUAGUUCUUCUUCAUGCAGAUGCAGUAACGUCC